UGUUCAGAAUGGUGUUUAUUUGGAUUCACACAAAGGGAUACUCUGGAUUUUGUUCUAGAAUGUCUCAAGACUCUCAACGGUACUCUGGAUUUUGUUCUAGGAUGUCUCAAUGGUAAUCUGGAUUUUGUUCUAGAAUGUCCCGACAGUAAUCUGGAUUUUGUUCUAGAAUGCCUUAACAGUACUAAUAUUAUGACCCUGAGAUGAAAAAAAAUCGACGACAUGGAUGAAAUGGCCGUUAUUUGUGUAGGUUACCGUUUGAAAUAGCACUAUUCACCUCCUCUAUUUAUAUGCAAUUCAUUUGAAAAGCAGGGGCAGAUUGUUCCCCGUUUCAUUUUUUUGUUUGGUUGUUAUUGUCGUGUUUCUGGGUUUUAUUCAGAUUGUUUCCUGUUCUAUUUGUUUUUUGUUUGAGUGGAAUCCUCUUAUGUUUUUAUUCAGUUUUUGUGUUUGGAUUUUUUUCUAUUUCAAUUUUCAUGGUAUUCUGAAUUUUGAAUGGGGCGCUGAGGAGGGCAGAGCUAUAUAUCCAUUACAUUUGCAGUUGCAUUUCCUCUAAUAUGCAAGGAGGUAUUCGAUCACGGACCUAUGCCGCCAGAGCUUGGGAGGUAUUUGUAGAGUCUGCGGCUUAUGGAGAUCGGCUAUAAUGCGUCCUGCCCCAAGGGUUAGCUGCAAAUAAAGAAGAUCAGCAGCCCUAUGUCUUCUAUUCCACUGCAACUGUGCAUGAUAAAGAAGAUUUUUAUUGGGUUCCAAACUUCCAGCAUGGUGACAGGAAGCAAUGCUCUGAUUGACUAUGGGUUUAGUUUGACACUGUUUUUGUCAGGGUUCCAACUUCCCACGGACAGAUCUCAAGACUGCUAUUGAGACUGCAAUAGUUACUGGCAUGUAAUUGGUUCUGGCCCCGUCAUAGCUCUUCUUUUUGAAAAUUUUAUAAUUAUAUGUUGAGACAUGGACCAGCUAGGACUCGACCCUAGGACCUUCCAUACGCUGCUGGAGUGCUCUACCACUGAGCUACUGGCCCCUCUUGGACCAGUCCAUCGUCGGUCCGGAUGUGGCUUAUUUCCAACACCAACACCCCUUAAGCCACACCUCUUGUGUGCUUGGGGCUCCUAGCCUGGACCUGGCUCUGAUAUAAAUGUUUAGAAACGAAGUUAACAUUCACUUUGUGUGUAUGUGUAAGUGAUGUAACAUUCACUUGGAUUUAGUAAUAUUGCAAUAAUGUAAGUUAUAAUUUAAACAUUUUUCUUUAGUGUGUUUUA